AUUCUUUUGUUAUCGAUUAGUCAUUAGCCCUAUAACGUUAGUCACAACCUUGAUUAUGUAUAAAUAGAUGUACAAUGAGGGCUUAGUACAAGCCCGUCUUCUAGGUGGCGCCUUGCCCGUUCUGAAUUUUUGUAUUCCCCUACGAUUUUCUUUGAGGGGAAUCCGUUAAACCCGCCCAUCGUUCAAAAAUGGAAGGGCGCGAGGUCACAUCUAUUGGGCCACUUAUUAGCACGUUUCACCCAUGUUUUACGAAAAUAGCUUUAUCCUUGUUUGGUUCAACUGUGACAAGAAAAAAGGAAAAAAAAGUUAUAUUCGCUUCUAAAUUCGGCAGUUUUGUUGAUCUUUCUCGACUUGUAAUUUCGUUUCGUUUAGGUUAUGUCUUAUAAAAAUAAAUAUUUAUAAGCUUUUGAAUUGAAAUAUACCUUAAUGCAUAUCUGAGUAAUUAAAAAAUUCAGUUUUUUCGUCCCUCGCGAAGAAACAUAAACAGUAUUUGUGAAAUUUGGAUUAGAAACUAUUAUUUUAUUAGUUUAUUUUGUUGUGUUUAAGUGUUGUGUAUUUGUACCUACUGGAUAAUAUUUUCCAACAUAUUUAAUUAAGCAAAAAGCAUCUGUUUUACAGGUGUGACUGCUAAGUGGUCGUACUCGCCACUUUAACCAAGCAUUGGUGGGACCUUCAGAGAUCAUAAUGCGAAUUUCUUCAUACCAUGUAAAUCUAUAUACAUGUAUUAAUAAAUGCGUUUGCUUUA